UCCCUGGUGGUCUGGAGGUUCAGAUUCAGGACUUUCAUUGCUGUGGUCCAGGUUCAAUCCCUGGUCUGGGAA
rnacentral:tRNA from 1 species